GAUGAACGCUGGCGGCGUGCCUAACACAUGCAAGUCGAACGAGCAAAUACAUUUGAUUUCUUCGGAAUGAAGAUGUAGGCGCGAGUGGCGGACGGGUGAGUAACGCGUGAGUAAUCUGCCUCAUACAGGAGAAUAACACUAAGAAAUUGGUGCUAAUACUCCAUAAGCUCACAUUAUGACAUCAUAGAGUGAGAAAAGAUUUAUCGGUAUGAGAGGAGCUCGCGUCUGAUUAGCUAGUUGGUGGGGUAACGGCCUACCAAGGCAACGAUCAGUAGCCGACCUGAGAGGGUGAUCGGCCACAUUGGAACUGAGACACGGUCCAAACUCCUACGGGAGGCAGCAGUGGGGAAUAUUGCACAAUGGGGGAAACCCUGAUGCAGCAACGCCGCGUGAAGGAAGAAGUAUUUCGGUAUGUAAACUUCUAUCGACAGGGAAGAAACAAAUGACGGUACCUGAAUAAGAAGCACCGGCUA
rnacentral:rRNA from 1 species